UUUUUUUUUUUUUUUUUUUUUUUUGUGGAAAAUCAAACCCUACGGCCGGCCGGCUACUUCUAGUUCUUGGGGAGAAUUUCCAACAAAGAUAGGCAGGAAAUCGCGUUGCUGUUAAUUUGCAUGUGCAUGCAGCAACGAAGUUAGUAGGUGGAAACUGAAAAUAAAACAGUGCGUAGUUUCUUAUCGUGACAGAGAGGCACAGCCAAACAAAUUACUUACCUAAUUUGCGUCCACAAAAUGCCACUUCAUUAGCAAUAAUCUAUCUGAUUGCAAUCAUUAUCACCUUUUACUAGUCAAGAUAAUAAAAGAGGGUUAGUCGUUAAAUUACAUUUUUUUUAUCUCAUGGGAAUGCAAUGAACCACCACCGUGGAAGAUUAUUGGCGAUACCUCCAAAAAGUCUUUUGCUGCAGCCAAGCCAUGCAAGAAUAUUCAAAUGUUUAACACAGAAUAAAGUGGAACCCUUUUUUUUAAAAAUUUUUAUUUUUUAAUCCACUGUAAUUUUUGGUCAACUCGAUUCAGUUAGAUAAUUAAACCUACCUAGUCGCAACCUUUUUAUUUAGAUAUAGUUUAAUUUUUGUCUCUUAAAUAAUGAUGGUUUAAGCGACGUGGCAAGCAGUCAUAACAGCAAGAAUCCAAGGAAAUCUAUGAUGCUGUAUUGAAGAUCAAUAAUACUAGUCUAUAAGGUAAGAGGAGCUACGUGGAUUAUCAUGGUUCAUAUGAUUAUCUUCUUCCACUAAUUAUAUAGUAAUUGACGAUAAUCCUCCUUCCAGCUGCCAAGCAUUAUUAUUACUACGUAUCAAAGCUAAAGCGAGGACAACUGUCAUUCGCUUUAAGAUAAUUUGGUGACACAGUAAUUAAGAAAGUUACAGAAUCAUAUAAGUCAGUCAAAAAAGUAGCCUUUGCCUUUGCCUAAGGAAGGAAGAUUUGUUAAUCACAUCAGGUCUUGACAGGAAAGUUUAUCGUUUGUGGAAAAAAUUGGCUCCAAAAGUAAGAAUUAAAAUGUUUUAUCUUCCUGUUUGUUACACAGUUAGGACCAGUAAUUUCAAGACAUUCACCAUCAAUUUGUUGCUGCCCCCUUAGUCAACAGAAAAUUGAGGGGUCAGUCCUCGUGGUAUAGAAUCACAUAUAUUAUUGAAAUCUAUUUUGUGCAUUAUAUCUAUCUGUCUAUCUUCUGCAGUGCAGUUCGUUCCUUCUUCUUCUUCUUUUUAUUUUUUUUUUCUUGACAAAAUUCAUCAUGUUUAUCUUCUUCUUCUGCAGCUAUAUGUUACAUAAGAGCAAAGAAUUAUUGUCUUAUUUCGAACUGAGGUUAUUAAUUUCAAUUAAUUUUUUAUAUAUCGACAGUGUAUAAUUACUGAACAUAAAUGCAUGUUAUAUACACACAAAAUCAAAAUUCAAAUUAGAAUUAAAUGACACGCAAUCAAUCGUGCAUUGUAUAUAUAUAUAUAUAUACAAAGAUUAACCUGAUUAUCAAUGCAUCGACCUCUGUGGAUGUUGAGUGACGUGAGGCACCCACAAUUUGACUUUCUUGGGAGCAGGUCAUGGCAAGAGAUCGGAUCCUCAAAAUGAUCCUAUCCUCUCAUCCCAGAGAAAUUCGUGGUUUGGAUGGAUGAACUGAAUCCCGAGUAUCCUUUAUUAAAUAUACGAAUCUUUGUGAAAUGAAGCAAAAGCUUAAGCAAUGAUUCUUUUGGAACUGCAUGAAAAUCUUUGUAAACUCAAGGCAACCAAUUGGGCAUGCAGUGUGCUGAAUGAAACAAGGAUCACGAAGAAAUUGAAUUAGAUGAGAUUAUAUUAUUACUACUAAUCCAUAAUGCUCCACUUAACUUUUUGAUAAUCUGUUCGCCAUCCAACUCAACACUUGGAAAGUGCGUAAUUAGAACCAAUUGGCCCUAAUGACGGCCAAUAUCUCAACCAAGAGAAUCUUAAUAAGUAGCGUUGUAUGAUUUAAAUAUACAAAUUGAGUCAUAUUUUAAGUACAUAUAGACACUUAGUCCGACGAAGAAUUGUCUGGCUUUUCCCCCAAUUCCAAGUCAUGGUAACAGUAGUGUAGAUUAUUUUUGGCCAAUGACUUUUAGAUGUCAAUUCUUGUACUAAGUGUGAUGUGCCUCAAAUUUUAUUUUAUUUACCAUAAUUUUUUUUUUAAAAAAAUAAUGUUGGUAUGUCGCAAAGCAAGUUAAAGGGGAUGGUAAUCUACUUUUUUGUCCUUUUUCGGUUUUAUUACAAUAUUCUUUUGUUUAAAAAAAUGUCAAAUAUCAUAGCCUCAAAUGGAAUGUUUACACGUGAAAUUGAUGGACUGAUGUUCAAAGAUUAUCUUGAAGGCGGUGCACCUGAUUGGAAUGUCAGUCCCCCGAUGAUUCGAUAUUCAAUUUCACAUCAUAAUAUUUGAUCUCUUUUUUUUUUUUUCACUUGGGAUACGGUGUUGACACUUGACAUCCUACUCCCAUUGAAUUUCCUUGAUCCAUUCGAAAAAGAAAGAAGUUUCAUUGAUCCAAAUUGAGAAAACAAAAGGCUUUCAUUGAGUCAAAAGUUGUUAGGUUCUACGUGACAGCGUUUGUCUUGAUUCUUAAAUUUUUCUCUUCAUCCGGCAUCUGUAAUCUCAAGUUAAAAGUAUUAAAACUGGUGUCAGUCAAGUCAAGUGGUUCCAAAAUUGGAAGCUGAUAAAAUUCAACCUCUGUUUCCAGCAUCAACAAAAAUAUUACUACGUACCAGGUAUAGCGGUGCAAUGGUAUCACUACCGAGAGAGAGCUAAAGCAGCUGUAUACUACCAUCCACCACUACUUGCUAGACCCUGGAAUUGCAUGCUGAUAACUAAGAAAAAUCCCUUUUGUUUUGUUUUUAUGAGAGAUUCUUAUUUUUUUUUUUAUAUAAAAAAAAAAACAAUGGGCAAUAAAAGAGUGUAAAGAAUGAAAUCAAAGAUUCUGCAAUCACCUUAUUAAUUAAUAUCCUACCAAGUAAGUAAUAUAAAGCAAGUCGAUCUUUAGUCUACUACUCGGUAAACAAUUAUUGGAAGCCCCUUUCUAAGGUUGAUAUUGGCGGUGACUUAUGCAGCAUGGUUUAUUGGUUGAUUGUUCAGCCUGCAUCCACUCCCAAAGCCCCACGAGGCCAUGAAUGAUCAGACUUUUUUUUUUUUUUUUGAUAAUAAUAAUAUGACUGAUCAGACUUGUUGAGAGGGUAUCCUAGUCCUAGUAUAUAUCUAACAUGGGCAAAAGAGCAGUAGUAGGUGUUAGAAACUAACUGUUAAUGAAUGAAUGCUGCAUGGAAAGUUAUACUAUAAUUUAUUAGUAAUCACACAUCUGUGUCAUAUCAUACGCUAACAGUAGUAGAUAGAAAUACUGCGCAUCCAACCCAAUGGCAAAAGGCAGAGUGUUGGAGAAGGAGGGACGCAUGGUCUGAGACCAGAGAAAUCUGAGAUUGGUUGGAGGGGUUUUAAAAGGAGGGACCCAAAUGAAGGGUGUCGUAUGGUUCAGGGCGCGCGAAAACAGCGCGGGAGCUGUUUCCCGAUGCGCAGAACAUAGACACAUCAUUCAUCAUCCUCCUCCUCCUCCUCCUCCUCACGCUCAAUACUCACUCACUGUCCUUUUAACUUUGUCAUCAGUCACCACCACCACUCUUAUGAGUCUUAUCUCUCUGUUUCUCUCUCUCUCUCUUACACACACACACAGAGAUUUGUGUGAACCAGUUUCAUUUUGCGCCCCUGAACUUGUAUCACAUUUUUAUUUCGCACUCUAUAUUUUAGAUAAUUUAUGUUCCGACUUCUUAGAUUUAUCCCACUCAAAUCCAACUGAUAAUAUCAGCAGUAUUAAUUGUUAGCAAACUAGAGGACCGUACAAAUGUAUGAUAAUAAUUUUUUAAAAGUGAUCAGAAUGAGCAAAAGGAUCACAACUAGAACAAAAUGAUGAAUUGUAAUAUGUAUACAGCACAAGCUUAGAGGUGCGAAGUGAUCUUUAUUCCUGUGUAUGUAUUUUUUUAUCCAAAGAAGACUCCAAACUUUGACGUAGAGAAGAGGGAAAGGGAAAUGUUUGAGGGUCCAAUGAGAAGUCUCGAGUCCUCCUGAUUAAUGUCUCUUUAAGUUGAGUCUUGAGAACAGAUGUACAUACCAUCUCUAGUAUUUAUUCUUUUAUUUUAAACUUUUUGAGAUAUUAUUGAUUCUAUAUUUGUAUAUAAUGGAUUCCAUCUCCGUCGUCCCAACCAAUAACACAUUAAUUAACUCGAAUCUUCCUUUGAUUCUUCAUACAUAUAUUCUUUUACUCAUUUGAUUACAACUCUCAUGUGAAAUACAAGGGAAGUAACUAAGUUGCUUAAUCAAUUAGGAAUCGUUUCACAAUUAACUAAAAUCAAGCUUGGUAUGUUGCUGAAUAAUUUCAUCGGGAUACUAAAAUGUUAGUGUAACCUAUCUAAGUUGACAUGCAUAAACGUACUACUUCCCUCAAUUAUAAAAUACAAAUCUACGCAUGCCCGUAAUUCUAUUGACAACAGAGUUCACGUGAAAUCUCUUUUUCCCCCCUUUUCAAGAAGAUUUCAAGCUUUACAUGAAAAAGAAAAGUUUGAUAAUCGAACCAAAAACAUCAUGAUCAUUUGAUUAAUGUCUCUGUCAAUUGAAUUGAGUACUCAAAUGUGAAAAUUAUAAAUUAUACUAAAAAAAUAAAAUUUGGUGGGCUUAUCAAUAAAAGUACGUAACUUUUAUUAAUCCAAUAGGACACAUGAAAAUUUAUUUAUUUAUUUAAAAAAAAAACUAAAAGUAUAUAACUUUAAUUAAUAUCCAAUAGGAGUUGUGAAAAUUAAAAACUUUUGAUCCAAGCCAGUUGGUGCUAGUGCGGAGGAGGUCCGGCAGGCAAGGAUGCCAUGUAGCCAUGUGAGAGUAGGGUCAGAGGAACCAGGGUACAAGAGACACGGAUGAGACUGUGCCUGGACAAGGUAAAAUGGGGUCCUAUCAUACCAGCAGAUGGUGGGAGUCUAUCAAUGGAUGUGAUUUGUAGGUCCUUCCCAUGUCUUUCUCAGGAGUCCAUGGGACCCUUGCAAAUUGCAAAGGUGUCAAAUGAUUGUUGAUAACAAUAUAACAUAAUAUGCUCCGUGUGGGGAACUUAGGCUGGAGAUCCAACUCUGUCCAUCUCCCCAUUUCCCAUACUGUUUUUAGUUAAAUCCUUAAUAAUACCUUUGCUUUUUGGAGCUGCUUAAUCACUCAUCACAUUUGUCCCAAUACUAUAUUUUGCAGCCUCCAAACGCCAUCAGAUCAUGAUUGUAAAAAAUACUAGCUGUUAGCAAUUAAGAAGGCAGUGUUAAUUGAUUCGCCAUGAAGCUCUCUUACUUGAUCACAGUAGUUCAGCCUUUAAGGGGACUGAUUAGAUGGAUAGCUUCUUCGGUCCGUUUAUUUUUAAACCACGUCUUUGGACCACCUAAACCCAAGCAGAAUCUUCAGAUAAUCAGACCACAAGCGUCUAAUCUUGCUCGCUCAUUUGUGUACUGUCACUAGAUACUAAGAUGGUCGACAAACAAAUGCCGCUGUUCACACCUUCGAAGCAUAUGAUUUGUACAAGUUCAUGGUGUAAUUAUUGAACGACGCUACUGUACAGCUAGUUUCUUGAAUUUUCGAGCUAAGUUUUUAAGUGGUGCACCCUCGCAUUAUUAUAUCCACGAUUUGACCAAACGCUCAGAAGAAAGCAUAUUCUAGAGAUUACAUUACACACCCUUCUUACAUUAAUCACGAAUAAACUAAACCCCAUCUUUGACGUGUUCUAAUGAAGUCAUAUUGUGGAUUAUAAGGUUUCGGGUCAGUUUGGUAAUCCUUCAUCUGACCUGAACUGGCUAGAAUGUUGGCAGAUAUGACCCUUCUCCCCAUACAGUCCAAGUAUUUUUCCUAUACAGCAAGAAAAUUUUGUUAAGCCUCAUGCAUGGAUCAAGUAUUCGGUGGAGAUCAGGAGAUGACGCUACAAUUAGAUAUAUGAUUAAUGAGACGUUCGGCAAAUUCUGGGCCUGAGCUUUGUGGCCCUAGUCCCAUGUUUGUAAUGAAUUCUUGCAAAUGUUGUAAGCAUCAACCAUCCAUCGCUUUCAACUUUCAAGACAAUUUCAGGAUAGUUAUGUCUCCAUCAUAGAGAAAUACUGCACUUCUUGGCCCAACAGACGCCCAUAAUCAUUAUAUAGGAGAACGGGUUACAUGGAUUGGAGGACACUGCCAAUAUCUUUAUCCAAGGUUUCCUUUCGGUUAUGUACUGGACCAGGUCCAGGGUCGGAACAAUACCUCCUGCAACAAAAUAAUUAAGCUGAAGGUAUAGCCUGCUCCAGCAAAAAUGUAUUAGCUUAACCUGUCAAUACCAUUUACUAUUAACCAACAGAAAUUCCACAGUUAGCACUUAAUGAGGUGGCUUCUGCUGUUCCUGGUACUUUGAGAGCCAUGAAAACAUAUUGCAGCGUUGAGGAUGGAUUUAAGAUUUAGUCUCUUAAAAUGAUUCUUGAUUAGGCAGGAGAUGUUCUUCUUUACAACAGGCACGCGAUUCUGGCAAAAUGUGACCCCCAGAUCCUUGCCUAGUCUACUUGAUAUUCUCGACGAGAACUAGCUAAGUAAUUUUGAUGGAAUGAAACUGUGAUCGUGCUAAAAAAGAAAGAGGAAAAGAUAGAUCUUUACUCAUUUAUUUGACUGUAAAAAGUAGGAACAGAAGCAACAUGUCAAACCUUUGCAAAAGGAACAUUUACAACCAUUUACAGACAGCAAGACCACCACCACAUUUUUGUACUUUACACCACAGUAUUACAGUAUUACAAACACAAGCAGUCGUUAUCUUAAUUGUCUGAAUUAGUAAACUAUAGGUCUAUGGAUAUUAUCAGCGGUUCCUCGCCCUUGUCAACAGC
rnacentral:lncRNA from 1 species